CUUUAUUUAACCAGGUAGGCAAGUUGAGAACAAGUUCUCAUUUACAACUGCGACCUGGCCAAGAUAAAGCAAAGCAGUGCGACACAAACAACAACACAGAGUUACACAUGGAAUAAACAAACAUACAGUCAAUAACACAAUAGAAAAAGUCUAUAUACAGUGUGUGCGAAUGAGGUAGGAUAAGGGAGGUAAGGCAAUAAAUAGGCCAUAGUGGCAAAAUAAUUACAAUAUAGCAAUUAAACACUGGAGUGAUAUGUGCCGAAGAUGAGUGUGCAAGUAGAGAUACUGGGGUGCAAAAUAAAUAAAAUAAAUAACAGUAUGGGGAUGAGGUAGUUGGAUGGGCUAUUUACAGAUGGGCUAUGUACAGAUGCAGUGAUCUGUGAGCUGCUCAGACAGCUGGAGCUUAAAGUUAGUGAGGGAGAUAUUAGUCUCCAGCUUCAGUGAUUUUUGCAGUUUGUUCCAGUCAUUGGCAGCAAAGAACUGGAAGGAAUGAUGACCAAACGAGGAAUUGGCUUUGGGGGUGACCAGUGAAAUAUACCUGCUGGAGCAUGUGCUACGGGUGGGUGCUGCUAUGGUGACCAGUGAGAUGAGAUACGUUUUGGGUCUUUGCCCAACAAAGUGAAGUUAGGAUAUAUAAGUUAUCCUGUACGAGCAUAUGUGCCGAAUACAUUAAGAUGUUACAGGUGUCAAGCUUAUGGGCAUGUGGCAGCAGUGUGUAGGAGGGAGGGUCCAAGGUGUGAGAAGUGUGCAGAAGAGCAUGAGACCAUGGAAUGUGUAGAAUUGGGGAAAGUAGUGGAAUAUGUUAAUUGUGGGGGUACACAUGGAGCUGGGGAUCAGAAGUGUCCAGUGCGAGAGAGACAGGUUGAUGUUUACAGGGUUAGAGUAGUGUUGAAGUUGUCAUAUGCUGAGGCAGUGAAAAAAGUAGAGGAAGAUGGGUUAAGGGGGAGGAGUGGUGAGAGUAAUAGAGAUAUACCAGUACAGAUGGAUAGGCCAAAAAGUGAUAUACAUUUCAGUAAGAUUGGAUUUUUUGCAUUUAUAGCCAUGAUUAUCAACUGUACUGCAGGGACGGAACAGAAGUUGCAAAAAAUUGAGGUUGAGGUGGCAGCUGCAGAGAGGUAUUUGGGUGUGCGAGACUUGACAUCAGAAGAGUUCAGGGUGUGUUAAGGGGUGCUGUCCCGUCCUUUCAGGAUGAUGGCAUGAGGUAGGAAUAAAUACAUUUUAUUAGUGGAGUAGGGUGGUGUUAAUUUUAUUUUAUAUAAUUUUGAAAUUAGUGAGUGUAGUGUUAGAUGGUAGGGUAUAUAUUUAGUACAUUUUUAUUUUUCAAGCAAAGUAUAAGGGAGUUGUACUCCAGUCUAGUAGGUGGCGGUAAUGCAACAAAUUAGAUGCAAACCGCCGUUAAACCUCAUAGAAGACGAAGAAGAAGGUCACUAGUUGUUGAAUGAGAGAGCCAACUGAAGAGAGAAGAAAAUGGAACGAAACGGGGAUAAACAUACCUGAAUGUAGAAUAGAAACUCUCGUUUGCAACUGUUGGACUAAUGAUUGUAGUCUGGCCCAGGAGUGUGAAGGUGAACGGAAAGGCACUGGAGCAACGAACCGCCCUUGCUGUCUCUGCCUGGCCAGUUCCCCUCUCUCCACUGGGAUUCUCUGCCUCUAACCCUAUUGCAGGGGCUGAGUCACUGGCUUACUGGUGCUCUUCCAUGACGUCCCUACGAGGGGUUUGUCACUUGAGUGUGUUGAGUCACUUACGUGAUCUUCCUGUCCGGGCUGGCGCCCCCCCUUGUUGUUGUGCGUGCCGGAGAUCUUUGUGGGCUAUACUCGGCCUUGUCUCAGGAUGGACUAUGCCUCAGGACUACCUGGCCUGAUGACUCCUUGCUGUCCCCAGUCCACCUGGCCGUGCUGCUGCACCAGUUUCAACUGUUCUGCCUGCGGCUAUGGAACCCUGACCUGUUCACCGGACGUGCUACCUGUCCCAGACCUGCUGUUUUCAUCUCUCUAGAGACAGCAGGAGCGGUAGAGACUCUGAAUGAUCAGCUAUGAAAAGCCAACUGACAUUUACUCCUGAGUUGCUGACCUGUUGCACCUUCGACAACCACUGAGUUCCAGGUGGGGGUGUACACACUGGAGGUCAACAUUGAUGAGCACAUGUAGGAGCCCAUCCGUGUGACGUCCAUCUACACCAGUGAAGGAGGUCUCCUAUAUAAGAAUUUGGCAGUAUGUCCAACCGGCCUCACAACCGCAGACCAUGUGUAACCACGCCAGCCCAGGACCUCCACAUCCGGCUUCUUCACCUGCAGGAUCACCUCAUACCAGCCACCCGGACAGCUUAUGCAACUGAGGAGUAUUUCUGUCUGUAAUUAAGCACUUUUGGGGGGAAAAACUGAUUCUGAUUGGCUGGGUCUGGCUUCCAAGUGGGUGGGCCUGGUUCCCAAGUGGGUGGGCCUAUGCUGCACCCCUGCCCUGUCAUGUGAAAUCCAUAGAUUUAUUUAAAUUGACUGAUUUCCUUAUUUGAACUGUAACUCGUAUUGUUGUUGCAACAAUUUAUAUUUUUGUUCAGUAUAAGAUACCUGUAGCUAGCUAGCUACCUAUUAGCCAUCAUAUUGCUAGCUUUCGUUUCAGCACCUUGCUUGACUGAUCUGUCUUAGCAACAGUAACUAUACGGCGGAGUUGUGGGAGAGAAUUUUUGUUACAUUUUUUAUUUAUUUUAUUAACAACAAAUCAAUACAGGAAGUACAUGUGGGAACACAAUUAUAUAUGAAUAAUAUACAAUGGACAAUUGGGCUAGGGGCGGGGCUGGGG
rnacentral:lncRNA from 1 species